rnacentral:lncRNA from 1 species
UCUGUCUAUACAUGAAAAUUGAUUGGGGUUCCUCUUCGUUUACCUUCAUCUAGCUGAGAAGUUUCAAAUUUUGUUCGAUCUUCGCUUUUAAUGCUUUCAUGAGGAUUAGAAGAGGUUGCUUUGGGUAUUUUGGAGAUUUUUUGGCCGAUUUUGGGAGUUUUUACCCUUAAUUUUCCUUUUUUAACUCGAUUUCAAUGAUUUGUUCUUAUUGUUUAUGUGAUGUUCAGUUUGGAUUCUUCUGGGUUUUACUUUUUAUGUGUAUUUUGAUGAUCUGUUCCUAGAACAUUGUACAAAUUUACUGUCUUUAAUGUUGGCGUCUGAAAUGUUAACUUUCUUCUGACGUUCAAAAUUUACUUCUGAUACACAACCCAUUUUUGUUCUCGUGCAAAAAUUGAUUUUCGUUUUCCUAUUUGAAAGGCUUCGCUCAAUUGUUGCCUGUUGGUGUUCGUCUGUUUUUCUUUGACCUUUGGCGGUGAUUUAAAGUUGGGAUGGAGGUGGAAUUGACUAAUCAAAGGUGGUGGAUUAAGGGCUGUAUUUGCGACAGCAUGAGAAUUAAAAGAGAGAUGGUUGGGAGUCCAAAGGAAAAGAAGUUUGAUAGAGAAAUGAUGCAUCUCAUCCUCUGUGGU